rnacentral:rRNA from 1 species
UACGUAGGGUGCGAGCGUUAAUCGGAAUUACUGGGCGUAAAGCGUGCGCAGGCGGUCUUGUAAGUCAGAUGUGAAAUCCCCGGGCUCAACCUGGGAACUGCGUUUGAAACUACAAGGCUAGAGUGUAGCAGAGGGGGGUGGAAUUCCACGUGUAGCAGUGAAAUGCGUAGAGAUGUGGAGGAACACCGAUGGCGAAGGCAGCCCCCAGGGUUAACACUGACGCUCAGGCACGAAAGCGUGGGGAGCAAACAGG